rnacentral:rRNA from 1 species
GACGAACGCUGGCGGCGUGCUUAACACAUGCAAGUCGAACGGAAAGGCCCUUCGGGUUACUCGAUUGGGGAACGGGUGGGUGACACGUGGAUGAGCUGCCCUGCACCUUGUGAUACGGCUGGGAAACUGGGUCUAAUACCGAAUAGGACCACGAUCUUCUUGGUGGGUGGGGGCAAGCUUUUGCGGCGGUGGUUGGGCCCGCGGCCUAUGAGUUUGUUGGUGGGUUAAUGGCCUACGAAGGCGCCGACGGGUAGCCGGCCUGAGAGUGUGAGCGGGCACACUGGGACUGAGAGACGGACCAGAAUGGUACGGGAGGCAGUAGGGGGGAAUAUUGCACAAUGGGCGCAAGCCUGAUGCAGAGACGCUGCGUGAGGGAUGACGGCCUUCGGGUUGUAAACCUCUUUCAAUAGGGACGAAGCGAAAGUGACGGUACCUAUAGAAGAAGCACCGGCCAACUACGUG